rnacentral:lncRNA from 1 species
ACACUCCCAUCUGUAAAGUGAGGUCUGCCACCUCCUGUCUAAGCGUUGCGUUCUCUCUACGACACUCAACAAUCUGAGUGCGGAUGUCGGUUGUCUGCAAUGAAAUAUUAUUAGAGAAAACAGUGAUUCUGGGAGAUGGUGGUGUAGGCGUGUAUUCAGAAAUGGGUGGUGAUCUCGGUUCCUCAACGGUCUCUCCCUGGCCCUCAAGAGCAUAACUCCAAUUCGCUGGAUCAUGCACACUGGUCAUCAUAGGAUCUGGCAGUGUGAAAUAAUG